rnacentral:ncRNA from 1 species
AUCUGCUACUUCCCAAUCCACACAUGCAAGUAUCCGCACACCAGUGAGUACGCCCUUACCCCCUCAACAGGACAAGGAGCCAGGUAUCAGGCACAAAACUUUCGCCCACAACACCAAGCCUCGCCACACCCCCAAGGGUAUACAGCAGUGACAAACAUUAUUUAUAAGCGCCAGCUUGACUUAGUUAAGGAAUCACAGAGCCGGCCAACACGCGUGCCAGCCGCCGCGGCUACACCGUACAGGGCUCAAGUAGAUAAACUAUCGGCGUUAAGCGUGUUUUAAGUGCUACUACCACCUUAGAAUUAAAUUGUAAUUAAGUCGUAAUACACUUGUUACUAAGAAACCCACAAACAAAAGUUAUUCUAACUAAACCACUUGAAUCCACGACAGCUGGGACACAAACUGGGAUUAGAGACCCCACUAUGCCCAGCCGCAAAAUUUUACCACACUCAAACACGCCAGGGAAUUACGAGCCCAAACUUAAAACCCAAAGGACUUGACGGUCUCCCACCCCCACCUAGAGGAGCCUGUUCCAUAAUCGAUUCUCCCCGAUAAACCACACCACUUUUAGCCUAUUCAGCCUGUAUACCUCCGUCGUAAGUCCACCACAUAAGCGCCAAUCAGUGAACUAAAAGAUUUUCCCCAUAAAUACGUCAGGUCAAGGUGCAGCCAACAAAGUGGGAAAGAAUGGGCUACAAUUUCUACCAUAGAACAUACGAAAACUCUGUGAAACCAGUUAUAGAAGGCGGAUUUAGCAGUAAAAAGAAAAUAGAGAGUUCUUUUUAAUACGGCACUGGGAUGCGUACACACCGCCCGUCACCCUCUUCAAAUGCACACAACCUAGUCAAUAACACAAUAAAGCACCAUAGAAGAGA